rnacentral:lncRNA from 1 species
GAACUAGUUCAUGAAAAAUCGCAAUUUUGGUCUAAGCCGACUUUUGGCUAAAUACAAGUUAUUCCCAACCCAAAUUUAAUAAGGAUCACGAAAAUCCUAUUCGUUUUGUUAUAGGAUCACUAUUUCUGGAGAUAUUGACUACUUCCGGUUACUUCCGGCAAAUUUCCGUGACAAUCUGCAAAAAGUAAAAAAUUAGCUGUAUUGUUCUAACAAUUUAAAAUAUUUUUCUCGCAUGCGUUAGGGUGUUGGUAGGUAUUAUUCCGUGUUUUUCUUGCUUUCAACACUACAGGCUGAUCCUACGAGCUACGCAGCUACGACAGUUUUACCUACAAAUGUUUAGCGUUUCGUGCUGUAACUAGUAGUUGAUAUUCUAGGAUGUUAUGCCUAAAAUUGGAAUUCAGCUAUCAGAGAUUACCAAAUUUCAAGCGGAAACUCUAGAUGGCGCUGAUGUACGUCUAUGAUGAAGAUUAUGAGUGACAAGUUAAAUGGGUGUUUUUUACGUUACCCUGUUAUGUGUUUUUUAAAGGAUUUUUCGUCAAAAAAUUUACGGAUUGUUAUCGUCUAUUCAGUAUUGCUAUCGUUGGCUGCUGAACCAGCAGUCUGCAUUCCUGCUAUCACUGUACCACAAGAGAUCCUGACACUUUAAGAAGGCCACUAAUGCUUACAUGAAGAUCACACUCCAGUUCAAAGUUUUCAUCUACUUUGUGUUACUAAUCAUCAGCCCUCAGCAUCGCAGGUAUCCAGAUUUCCAAGUUUCUCUGAUUAGCCAACCAUCAUCCAUACCCUUCAGCUCUUCAUUGUGGCUUCUCUUCAUCUCUUCUUAGUCUGCUGAAUGCCAACAUCGAAUAAGGUUCAUCAUCAUUGCCUUUCCAUGGUACAUCAGCUGUCCCGUCAGCUGUUCUAUUUCGCGUGGAUUCGGGUUGUGGAUGGCCGCUGAAACGAAUGUCCCUCUUAUUGAAAUUUCACCACCGAUUCCGUGUGUUUUGAGCUGUAUCUUUUGAAUUCAAUCCAGUGUUGUUCAAGGAGGAACAGGGAUUGGCUUUCAUCUCCGUUAGUCUAAUAUACCCAUUUUGCACCAAAGGUGAUACGUAAAAAAGUAGUGCUUUAAAAUCUUUUUCUCUAUCUAAAUCUCAUAGAUUCUUGGAGGUGUCAUCAGGUGAUGUUAGAACUUAUUGUUAAUAGUUUAAGUUUUUUAAAUCAUGCCUUCAGGUCUUUGCAGUGUCCCUGAUGUACUAUGAUGGCCGCAAAAUCAUUCAAUGACUUGGUUUUUUAAAAUAGUGGUUUACAGUUUUAAUUUGCAGAGAUCCUGGAGGCACCUGAUCUGUUUCACUGGUGUUGGAGUCACUUGGUGACAGAAGAGAAUACCACUAAUGUUAUGUUGUCAGUGUAAAUAAAACAUAUCCAGUAUCA